rnacentral:rRNA from 1 species
CAGCCGCCGCGGUAAUACGUAGGUGGCAAGCGUUGUCCGGAAUUAUUGGGCGUAAAGGGCUCGCAGGCGGUUUCUUAAGUCUGAUGUGAAAGCCCCCGGCUCAACCGGGGAGGGUCAUUGGAAACUGGGAAACUUGAGUGCAGAAGAGGAGAGUGGAAUUCCACGUGUAGCGGUGAAAUGCGUAGAGAUGUGGAGGAACACCAGUGGCGAAGGCGGCUCUCUGGUCUGUAACUGACGCUGAGGAGCGAAAGCGUGGGGAGCGAACAGGAUUAGAUACCCCGGUAGUCCCUGUCUCUUAUAC